rnacentral:rRNA from 1 species
UACGUAGGGUGCGAGCGUUGUCCGGAAUUAUUGGGCGUAAAGAGCUCGUAGGCGGUCUGUCGCGUCGAUCGUGAAAACUUGGGGCUUAACCCUGAGCUUGCGGUCGAUACGGGCAUGACUGGAGUUCGGCAGGGGAGACUGGAAUUCCUGGUGUAGCGGUGAAAUGCGCAGAUAUCAGGAGGAACACCGGCUGGCGAAGGCGGGUCUCUGGGCCGAUACUGACCGCUGAGGAGCGAAAGCGUGGGGAGCGAACAGG